rnacentral:rRNA from 1 species
UACGUAGGGUGCGAGCGUUAAUCGGAUUUACUGGGCGUAAAGCGUGCGCAGGCGGCCCGUUAAGACAGGUGUGAAAUCCCUGGGCUCAACCUAGGAAUUGCGCUUGUGACUGGCGGGCUCGAGUACGGUAGAGGGGGGUGGAAUUCUUGGUGUAGCAGUGAAAUGCGUAGAGAUCAGGAGGAACACCGAUGGCGAAGGCAGCCCCCUGGGCCUGUACUGACGCUCAUGCACGAAAGCGUGGGGAGCAAACAGG